UACGGAGGGGGCUAGCGUUGUUCGGAAUUACUGGGCGUAAAGGGCUCGUAGGCGGCCAACUAAGUCAGGCGUGAAAUCCCUCGGCUUAACCGGGGAACUGCGUCUGAUACUGGAUGGCUAGAGGUUGGGAGAGGGAUGCGGAAUUCCAGGUGUAGCGGUGAAAUGCGUAGAUAUCUGGAGGAACACCGGUGGCGAAGGCGGCGACCUGGGUAGAUACUGACGCUGAGGCGCGAAAGCGUGGGGAGCAAACAGG
rnacentral:rRNA from 1 species